rnacentral:lncRNA from 1 species
GAAAAAGGGAGAGAGUGACCUCUCUAGGUUUUAUGGCUUGUUGUGGGGUAGAGGAGCACUAGUUUGUGUAGCCUGACUAGGGGAAGACAAAUACUAGUCAUGGCUUGCUUAGGAGGAGAAAGAACGGCUAGAGGUAGAAGAAGGUCGUAGAGACCUUUCUUCUGAGCUCUUUCAAUGUCCUUCAUUUAAAUACUCAGCAUGCCAAGGCACCACACACUGGGGUAUCCUAUUUGAGCCCCAACGUGGACAGCACUCCCCGGAAACCUCGUGAACACAAAUCGGUAUCUCGGAGUCUAUUUUGGUGAAACCUACAUAAGACAGGAGGUAUGUGAAUAGCCUUGAUCAGAGAGCGAACUAAGGAUAUUGAGUGCCUUAGUCAUUCCCGUUCCACACCCCUCCCCGUAUUCAAGUCCUUUACCCUGGAACUUUGCAUUUCCUCUUGCUAAAGAGGCACAGUGUAUUGCAUUUGUUUCCAUAUCUCUGGAUUCUGGCCAUGAGCUGUUCAGGUCAUGGAAUGUUAGCAGGUGUUGUUACCCAGUGUGAUGUCUAUGUGACCUAGGUGUGUUUCUAACCUGCCUUUAUUCUGCUUAUCUUUAGGAAACAGGAUACCUGAAAGGUCAGAGGCUUCCCCUUGUGACCAAACCAGCUAAGACGAUGGGAUCCAAAGUGGCAGCUCACUUUACCUCUAAAGAACAUCUAACUUUAUCACAAUCUAAUUUCCACGCAAAAUGGCACUCCCUCCAGAGCCAUGACAGUUGACAGUCACCACUACAAUGGCAAGAAGAAAUCAUGAAGGACAAAAAAGGAGUGAUGCUCCAGCUCAAGAAGUUCAUCAUCUGUUCCCAGAAAAGACAUAAACAUUCUUUCGCUUGCUUCCAAUGCCCAACUCCUUCAUUAAAGAUACCCAAUAUCUGUGAUUUUCCAGCUCUCAUGAGCUUAGAAGCUGAUUUAGAAUUCAAUUUCAAAGUGUGAGUUGAGGAUACCAUUCUGGCUCUCAGAAAUCAUAAAUAAUGAAUGGCACAUUUGAGUCAUUAUCAGUGAUUCUCUCUCUUAAGAGUCCUCUUUGGUGUGCUCUGACCUAAGGUUUGAGAAGUUGUUGUUGUUGUUUUCAGAAACCUCUAUUUUAAUAACUGCCUUAUAUAAAAUCAAAGGGAUUACAUAAAUUUAUUUUAUGUGCUGAAGUUCUUUCAUAUUGAAUAAAACUUUCUUUGGCAGUUUUAC